AUGGCCACAUCCUGUUGAAAUAUUGGUUCCCAUAUGAUCUCCAAAGUUAAGCAAUGUCAAGCCUGGUCAGUACAUAGAUGGAUAACCACUUGUAAGUACCAGGUGCUGUAAG